rnacentral:rRNA from 1 species
GACGAACGCUGGCGGCGUGCUUAACACAUGCAAGUCGAACGGACAGGCCCUGCUUUUGUGGGGUGCUCGAGUGGCGAACGGGUGAGUAAAACGUGAGUAACCUGCCCUUGACUUUAGGAUAACUUCAGGAAACUGGGGCUAAUACCGGACAGGAGCCUCUGCUGCAUGGUGGGGGUUGGAAAGUUUCGGCGGUUGGGGAUGGUCUCGCGGCUUAUCAGCUUGUUGGUGGGGUAGUGGCUUACCAAGGCUUUGACGGGUAGCCGGCCUGAGAGGGUGACCGGCCACAUGGGGACUGAGAUACGGCCCAGACUCCUACGGGGGGCAGCAGUGGGGAAUAUUGCACAAUGGGCGGAAGCCUGAUGCAGCAACGCCGCGUGCGGGAUGACGGCCUUCGGGUUGUAAACCGCUUUCGCCUGUGACGAAGCGUGAGUGACGGUAAUGGGUAAAGAAGCACCGGCUAACUACGUG